GAGUCCAGCAAGGAGGGCUGGGAUUCACACUUUGCAUGUGUGUCUGCCUAGGCUUGGGAUGUUUUCUGGGAUGGACUACCUGAAAUUCGUCACGUCUACAUCCAUAUGUGUGAAAGUGCAUGAGGAGGACAUGGAAUGAUACCACAUAUCUUGCUACAAAUAUGUAUAAACAGUUGCUGUUUGUGGUCCCCCUCGCACCCACGAAUAACUGGGUCCUGCUGGAUGGAACAACACAUGCCAUUUAGAAUGUAACACCAUGUUUCUGCAGUUGAAAGAAGCGUUUAACCAAUUCAGGCACUGAAUGAUCUGCAUGUUGACCUGGUGAGCUGUGGGAAGGAACACUCUGUGGCUGUCUGCCACAAAGGAAAGGUCUUCGCUUGGGGAGCCGGUUCUGAAGGGCAGCUGGGGAUUGGAGAAUUUAAGGAAAUAAGCUUUAUGCCUACGAAAAUAAAAGCUCUGGCUGGCAUAAAAAUAAUCCAAGUUUCCUGUGGACACUACCACUCUUUGGCCUUAUCAGAAGAUGGCCACGUGUUUUCAUGGGGAAGGAACAGUGAAGGACAACUGGGCCUGGGGAAGAAUUCCCGUUCUCAAGCUAUUCCACAGAAGGUGAAGUCUCUGGAGGGGAUCCCACUGGCUCAGGUUGCUGCAGGUGGCACACACAGUUUUGCUCUGUCUCUCACGGGGACAUCAUUUGGCUGGGGGAGCAACAGAUCUGGGCAGUUGGCUCUCAGCGGGAACAAAGUUAAAGAACAAAUCUACAAGCCGCAUUCAAUUGGUGCCCUGAAGAAUCUGAGUGUGAUUUAUAUUAGCUGUGGUUAUGAGCAUACUGCAGUGCUUACUGAGGAGGGACAAGUGUUUACAUUUGGAGGCAAUAGCUCUGGACAACUACAGCCCAGCCCCAGGAGUGGACAAAGAGGCCCACAACUCAUAGAAGGAAUUGGUGGCCGUGUUUCACAGAUAGAGUGCGCAAGACCUUGUGGAUAUUGAAGUCAAAGACAUUUUUGCUGGAGCACACGCCAACUUUGUGACAACUCGUCGGGUAUCACAUACUAGGUCUACAGGUGUUUCCAUGAAAAUCCUGCCAGAAAUAAUCCGAAUCAACCAGUCUCUGGUAAAGAAAUGGAGAGCAGCAAAUAAAAGAAAAGAUCGUGAAGGCGCCAAAAGAGAAAUCAGCUUGAUAUUUUCAUCUUCUGCUUGUUUGACAGCGAGCUUUCUGAAGAAAAGAGAUGCUGGAGAGAAUAAUCUCAUUGAUGUGGACUUAAAACUGGCAAGAGAUGUCUUCAAGAAGUUAACAACAGAGAAAUGGAUUUCUUCUUUGAAUGUUCCAUUAUGCAGGAUCCUAAGAACUGGAAGACCCUGGCAUUUGAAUUUGCAAAAGCUAUUCAUAAAAUGGGUCCACAGUCAUUAGCAUUCCUGAGAACGUGUUGGGCAUCUUUGGAAGUUUCUUCACUGAACAUACUGGUUCAGAUGCUAAAGAAAGCCAUCAUCUCUCAAAUACAGUAUGGAGUUGCAACGGAGCAGUAUAUUACUAAUAUUAAAGUUCUUUUAGAAG
rnacentral:lncRNA from 1 species